CUCUUUUUCCAUAUAUUUUUAGGUGUUUAUAUUUGUUUAUGUUAUAGUCUUGAUUUAUUUCUCAAUAGGAAAUAGUGUGCACAUUAGAUUUUAGUUUUCCCAAAUAUUUGAGUGCAGUCAUUGGGUUUCUUUUGGUUUCUUAGAAUAGAAGAAUGGGUAAUUGCUUGUCCUAAGUAAUGUACAUAUCAUGUAAAUGAUAUAUUAUAUGCAUAAAUGCAUCUGCUAUACAAUAAAAGUAUAAAACAAUGAGUAUUGAUGGUAUUUCACGCAUAAAUGUUCCGAGUCUUUUGUAUAUGACAAUGUAUUGAUGUGAACGCUUCUUUUGUGGCUGGACCUGGAUCGUGUUUCCAGAGUAUGUUCAUCAUGUUUCAUGUUUAGUAAAUGGUAAAAUUCUGGAAAAUGGUCCAGGCAUUUCAUGAAUACCAGUGGAAACUGGAAGAGCAAGAAACAAAUGUAAAGGGUAUUGGAAUUCUGCAAUUCUGAAAGGCAUGGUGGGAUGAUCAUCUUGAUGUUUCUGGCCAAAUUUUGAUGUUAAUUUCUUUUAAUUAUUUUUAAAACUCCAAUUCGUAGAAAGAAUUCGGUUUCUUUUCAGAGACUUUCUUGAAAUUGUAUUCUGUUGUACUUUCUUGAAAUUUGUAGAGAUUAUUGGGCUUCUUUUCAGAGUCUUACAUCAACUUUUAUUAAAU
rnacentral:misc_RNA from 1 species